AGGUCUUGACAUCCGAUGCUAUUUCUAGAGAUAGAAAGUUACUUCGGUACAUCGGUGACAGGUGGUGCAUGGUUGUCGUCAGCUCGUGUCGUGAGAUGUUGGGUUAAGUCCCGCAACGAGCGCAACCCCUAUUGUUAGUUGCCAUCAUUCAGUUGGGCACUCUAGCGAGACUGCCGGUAAUAAACCGGAGGAAGGUGGGGAUGACGUCAAAUCAUCAUGUCCCUUAUGACCUGGGCUACACACGUGCUACAAUGGUUGGUACAACGAGUUGCGAGUCGGUGACGGCGAGCUAAUCUCUUAAAGCCAAUCUCAGUUCGGAUUGUAGGCUGCAACUCGCCUACAUGAAGUCGGAAUCGCUAGUAAUCGCGGAUCAGCACGCCGCGGUGAAUACGUUCCCGGGCCUU
rnacentral:rRNA from 1 species